rnacentral:lncRNA from 1 species
UGCACAAACCCCUGGAACUCGACAUUUCAUACUAGUCCGGAUGGUCAAAUCACGUGGUCGGUCAUUAGUAUCAACAAAAUGUGUUCGGUCUUAGUUUGUAUUGUGUUAUGGUCUUUGCAUGCUGUGUGUGUGUGUGAUUGUAUAACAUGUUAGUUAAUUCCAUUUAAUGUAUAAUCUGAUAGAAUGUCUAUUUGCUUGCUUGUAUGCAUAUUGUUAAGUAUAUGUUAGUUAGAAUUUGGACUUAUCUUGCCUGCUUUUCAAUCUAGCUUACCCUUGCAUUUGUAUGUGUUGUAUGUGUUUGCCUUCCUCCUUGCGAUGAUCAUCCAAAUCCUUGGAUGUGAGCAGAAGCUGAUGAUGUGCCCCUGGAGCAAGCAUUGGAGACCGAAGAAGACCCUGCUUUUAGUUCUUAGGACUCCUUCUAGUUUCUAUUUAAAUAGUUUCUUGAUUUUGACAAACUUCUAGUUUUCAUCUUAUUAUGAUCUGUAUUUUGGAAACACUGUUUAGGCCUCCUUGAAUCUUUAGUUGGCUAAGUAUUUUGAAAUA